rnacentral:rRNA from 1 species
UGUGGGGGGGUCACCCUGGCAUGUCAAGCGGUACAUUUCUACCUUGCUAAAAAAUGACAAGCGGCGGACCGGUUAGAAAUGGAGGGGAAUAUGCCUUAGGGUGGGGGACAACAGCUGGCAACGACUGCUAAUACCGCAUAACGUCUACGGACCAAAGGGGGCUUCGGCUCUCGCCCUUAGAUUAGCCCAAGUGGGAUUACCUAGUUGGUGAGGUAAUGGCUCACCAAGGCGACGAUCCCUAGCUGGUUUGAGAGGAUGAUCAGCCACACUGGAACUGAGACACGGUCCAAACUCCUACGGGAGGCAGCAAUGGGGAAUAUUGCACAAUGGGCGCAAGCCUGAUGCAGCCAUGCCGCGUGUGUGAAGAAGGCCUUAGGGUUGUAAAGCACUUUCAGUAAGGAGGAAAGGUUAGUAGUUAAUACCUGCUAGCUGUGACGUUACUUACAGAAAAAGCACCGGCUAACUCCGUGCCACAGCCGCGUUAAUACGGAGGGUGCGAGCGGUUAAUUGGAAUUACUGGGCGUAAAGCGUACGCAGGCGGUUUGUUAAGCGAGAUGUG